CAGCAGCCGCGGUAAUACGAAGGGGGCUAGCGUUGCUCGGAAUUACUGGGCGUAAAGGGAGCGUAGGCGGAUCGUUUAGUCAGGGGUGAAAUCCCGGGGCUCAACCUCGGAACUGCCUUUGAUACUGGCGAUCUUGAGUAUGGGAGAGGUGUGUGGAACUCCGAGUGUAGAGGUGAAAUUCGUAGAUAUUCGGAAGAACACCAGUGGCGAAGGCGGCUCACCGGACUGGUAUUGACACUGAGGUGCGAAAGCGUGGGGAGCGAACAGGAUUAGAUACCCGCGUAGUCCCUGUCUCUUAUAU
rnacentral:rRNA from 1 species